UACGUAGGGUGCGAGCGUUGUCCGGAAUUAUUGGGCGUAAAGAGCUUGUAAGUGGCUCGUUGCGUCGGGAGUGAAAACCUGCGGCUUAACCGCAGGCCUGCUUCCGAUACGGGCGAGCUAGAGUUCGGCAGGGGAGACUGGAAUUCCUGGUGUAGCGGUGGAAUGCGCAGAUAUCAGGAGGAACACCGGUGGCGAAGGCGGGUCUCUGGGCCGAUACUGACACUGAGAAGCGAAAGCGUGGGGAGCGAACAGG
rnacentral:rRNA from 1 species